UUUGGAGAUUACACUUUUCCUUGUAAUUGUUGCUAUUAAAAUGCCCCUUCUUUUUUUUUUUUUCCCCUCCUUUUUUUAAGACUGUACCUGUGGCAUAUGGAAGUUUCCAGGCUAGAGGUCCAAUCAGAGCUACGGGUGCCCGUCUAUCCCACAGCCACGGCAACCCUGAAUCCGAGCUGUGUCUGAGACCUACACCACAGUUCACAGCAACACCGGAUCCCUGACCCACCGAGUGAGGCCAGAGAUCGAACCUGCAUCCUCACGGAUACGCGUCAGAUUCGUUCCUGCUGCGCCACAACAGGAACUCAAAAACGCCCCUUCUUGAGUCCAAAACAAAUAUGAGAUAUCACUUAUAUGUGGAUUCUAAAAAAUAAUACAAAGGAACUUACUUACACAACAGACUCAAAGACACGGAAAACAAACUUAUGGUUCCCCGAGGGGAAAGGGAUAAAUUAAGAGUCUGGGAUUAGCAGAUACGCAGCGCUCUAUGUAAAAGCGGAUAAAGAGCGAAGAUUUACUGUCCAGCACAGGGAACCGUAUUUGAUAUUUUGUAAGAGUCUAUAAUGGGAAAGAAUCUGAAUAGAAUAUAUAUACACACACACAUAUAUGUACAUACGCAUAUAUAUGAAUAUGCGUAUGUACACAACAAAAUCACUUUGAUAUACACCCGCAACCAACACAACAUUGCAAAUCGACCCCGGCAGAACUGAGAUGCUCCCAAGAUGCCUCCUUCUGGAAGCACACACCCCGCCUCUCCCCACCUCUCCCCGGAGGCCUGGGCUGGCUGCUGCUGGCUCUCCUGACCCCUUGGCAGGGAGACCAGAUCCCAGAUGUCCCCAGAGGGCGACAGAGGAAGGGCCAGGCCAGCACGCGGGACCUGUGCCAAGGCAACUGGCUGAUGGGGGAUGGGGUCGAUGGCUUCCAGGAUAAUGAAUUUAGAUCUGGACACAAACCUCCUGGGGAAGCAGCCCAUUGCAACCGAGAAAAGGGGAUUCAAGACUAGGAGGGGACGUUUUGGUGAUCUAUGGGUGGGGGCCAAGGUGGUGCGUGCCACAGUCUACGAAGGGCUUAAAGGGACUGGGGGGAGGAAAGGAGGGUCCCAACACCUCCAAAGGCGACCCUCCUUCUGCUAGAAAUCUGACAUGGGGAGAGAGGAAGGCAGCAGUGCUCCGGGUAUUUGGUUUGUUUUUUAAAAUAAGAGCUUUUUGAGGUAUCAUCUACAUACCAUACAACGCACAAAUUUUAAGUUAAAAUUUUAACUCCAGAGUUGCACAGGAGUUCCCAUCAUGGUGCAGCAGAAACGAAUCUGACUAGGAACCCUGAGGUUGCAGGUUCGAUCCCUAGCCUCUCUCGGUGGGUUAAGGAUCUGGCUUUGCCGUGGGCUGUGAUAUAGGUCUCGGAUGCGGCUCGGAUCUGGCGUGGCUGUGGCUGUGGUGUAGGCCGGCGGCUACAGCUCGGAUUGGACCCCUCGCCUGGAAACCUCCAUAUGCCAUGGGGUCAGAUCGGAACUACAGCUGCCAGUCUAUACCGAAGCCACAGCCAUGUCAGAUCCAAGCCGUGUCUGUGACCUACACCACUGCUCACAGCAAUGCCAGAUCCUUCACCCACUGAGCGAGGCCCGGGAUUGAACCCGCAACCUCAUGGUUUCUAGUCAGAUUUAGUUCUGCCGAUGCCGAGCCACGAUAGGCACUCACUUUCAAGCACAUGGCGCCCUUGGGGCCAAUACCCUGCCCACCACAAGAAGGCUAAGAGGCUGGAUUCCACGAAGCUGGAGCCGUGGGUUCUAACUUCUGGGUGCAGAAACCCCUGGGGGCAGCUCGGAGGAGGAGGAGCGCUGGGGUGGGGGGAAGCUGUGUUUAACAGUCUUCCUGAACAGCCCCCACAGGCCAGAACCUCGAGGGCAGAGCAUUCAGGUGGGGGAAUAACCUGGAUGGCAGUGAAUGUCACAUGAGCACCUGCUCAGCACCGGGCACUGUUCCCGGCUGCAGCCAGACAUGCCCGAGCGCCCAUGCGGAGCUGUGACCCUUCCCAGAAGUUACCUUUAAAAAAAAAAAAAAAUGAAGUAUAGUUGAUUUACAAAUGUUGUGUUAAUUUCUGCUGUACCGCAAAGUGAUUCAAUUACGUAUACAUACCUAUAUAUAUAUACAUAUUUAAGAAUAUUGAUUUCCAUGACGGUUUAUCACAGGCUACUGAAUAUAGCUCCGUGCUAUACAGUAGGACCUCGUUGUGAACCCAUUCUGUGUAUAAUCGUUUGCAUCUGCUAACCUCAAACUCCCAACCCAUCUCCCCAACCCCUCAGCAACCACAAGUCUGUGCUCUAGGUCUGUUCUCUACAUCUGUGAGGCUCUUUCUAUUUCAUAGAUGGGUUCAUUUAUGUUAUUAUUUUCUCUCUUUUUUGGCCGAGCCCGUGGCAUGUGGAGGUUCCCAGGCCAGGGAUCGAACCCAAGACACAGGACAGGUGCAGCCUGUACCACAGCUGUGGCCACACUGGAUCCUUAACCUAGUACACCACACGAGAGCUUCCAGUUCAUCUGUGUCAUGUUUUAGAUUCCACGUAUAAGUGGCAUCGCAUGGUAUUUGUCUUUCUCUUUCCGGCUUACUUAGUAUGACAAUCUCUAGUUCCAUCCAUGUUGCGGCAAAUGGCAUUAUUCUUUUUAAUGGCUGAGUAGUAUUCCACUGUGUAUAUAUACCACGUCGAUUUAUCUAUCCAUUCAUCGGUCCAUGGACAUUUAGGUUGUUUCCAUGUCUUGGCUAUUGUGCAUAGUGCUGCUAUGUACACGGGAGUUGCGUGUAUCUUUUUGAAUUAGAGUUUGGUCUGACUAUAUGCCCAGGAGUGGCACUGCUGAAUCAUAUGGCAACUCCAUUUUUAGUUUUUUGAGAAACUUCCAGACCGUUCUCCAUAGCGGCUGCACCAACUUGCAUGCCCGUCCCGUGGAAGGGGGCUCGCCUUUCCCCCACACCCUCUGGGAGAAGUUACUCAACCUCUCUGGGCCUCGCAGUAUCUUCCCCUGUGAAAUGGGACCCCUACCGCCAGCACCCACCUACUGCAGAGGGUACCUAAGGAGACACAAGGAGCCAGGGGCCAAGUUCAUGGUAUGCCCCGUGGCUGUCCUGCCCAUCCCAUCAGGCCAGGCCACCUCAGCACCCCCGGGAACAGCUAAGGACAGACAUGGCCCCAACGGAAGUCUUUUUACACUUAUGAAAUCCCGCAAGCCAUUGCAAGUGAAGCUUCUGAUACAUCGGGCAGGAAACGAAAAGUUACGGGUCUAGUGUCACCAGAAAUCACCCACUUGUGAACACACAUAUAGUAAGUCAUUAGCGCAACGCCAUCUGCAGAGAACGCCACCCGGAGACGCAAGCCGCGUACAGUUCGGCUCUGAAUAACACCAUUCGCGGCCAGAAUAAGACGAAGCUCUGGGCCAAAAUUAAGUCUCGGCUGAUGGUGAGAAUUCUUACACCCACAGAUGACUCUGGUAAACUGGUUCCUGUCCAAUCUCAAAACAAAAAUAAAUCAGGAAAGAAAAAACCAAUUGAGCCCCAAUGUUACCAAAAUAAGUAAUAUGAAUAUAAUAGCCCUUUAAUGAACACGAGCGCAUAUAAUCCCCACGACAGCAAUCCAGGUGACCACAUUUGCAUGUGGAAAAAACGGGGCCUCGGAGCAGACAAGGGACUGACCGGCUUGGGGCUCACGGGGCCCGGAGGCGAAGAGCCAGGCUCUAAGCCACCAGAGCCAGAGCGUGGGCUCAAGAGAAGCAACUGGCCCAGUCCCCCCCACUCUCCGCCACCUCACCCCCAGGAGCUGCCUGGAGCUGCUUUACACAUGUUGGGGUGACAGAACUCCCGUGCACAAAAUGCACAUUUUGAAGUUCUGUCUCACGUGAUCUAGAACAAUAGCAAGGAUUCCUCUAGCCCUUGGCCGUGGCUGCCAACCCCAGGAGGAGUGGCAAAGGCGAAGCUGGCUUCUGUGGGGAUAUUGGAGACAGGAGCCCCUCUUCGUGCUGCACGGGGCCCUGGGCGACAGAGAAGCUGGGCCCCUGCUCAUGCACUGGCCCGGCUCACCUCCCAGGAGGGUGCUGCCGUGGGGAGGCCCUCGCCCUCUGUCCCUUUAAGAUGUGGGGUCCACGCACUGAGGCAGGAGUCAGGCCACCCAGACAGAGAGCUCACUCCAGCCUGGAAAGGAGGGCUUCCCAGAGGAGCCAACGGCUGGGGCUGAGCCAAAGGGACAGCAAAGACAAACAGCCAGAGGCCAGAGGGGUGCACUCGGAGGACGGCGAUGGUCCAGCCCAGCUGGGAGCACAGCGUGGAUGGGGGCGAGAGGCCACGGGAGCCAGUGGCCCAGACUGGAAGCCUGGAGCAUCUGUCAGAACGCCUCGGCCAAUUUCACAGGGCGGAGGGUGAGGGGCAGGGGGGCGGCAGGUGCUUUCUAAAAGACAGAGUGUGACACGGCCCCAGUUCUCCCCAAAGGGAGAAACCGCACGUCUCCUAAAUGUAUCAGCGCUGCUGCUAAGAAGGAGUCCCCCACACAGGACUCCACAGGCUUCCAGCCAGCCUCUCUCAUUCUCCCCUUUGAUUCUCACCCUAACCAGCGAGGUGCCAGGGCGGGUGGCCUUACCUAACUUCACAGGUGAGGACAGCUGGGCUCGGGGCAGAGGCAGAGGGCAGGGCCCGCACACACAGCCCAUUCCUCCCCCCGCCCCCAGCGUCCAGCCAACACUACCUGACCCCCAAAGCGGGGCCAGGACCAACCACAGGCUUCCCACCGUCUUUUUCCUUUUUUCUCCCUUCUUUUUUUGAGGCCGCACAUGAAAGUUCCAGCAUUAGGGGCUGAAUGAGAGCUGCAGCUACCGGCCUACACCAGAGUCACAGCAACACGGGAUCAGAGCUGUGUCUGCGACCUACCCUGCAGCGUGCAUCAAUGCUGGAUCCUUAACCCAUUGAGGGAGGCCAGGGAGGGAUCAAGCCCACACCCUCGUGGACCCUAUGUUGGUUGGGCUCUGAACCUGCUGAGCCACAAUGGGAACUCCCCACCGUCUGUUUUCCAAGCCCAAGGACGACGACGAGGGUGACGUGCCAGCCUCCUGCAGCACACACUGAAAUCAACCUACUACCUUCCCC
ensembl:lncRNA